GUAAUUAUUUCUUUUUCCUCAAGAUUUAUAAAUUCUUCAAAUUGCUGAGUUGACCAAUCCGGUUAAACCGAACCGAAAACCAAUCCAAAAACCAGGUCGAGGAGAACUUAAACCGUAUCAAUUCUUAAUGUUUUGCUUACUUGUUUCUAAUUAUUUUGGAUUUUAUAGCUUUGAAGAGGCUAAACAAUGGAUUCCAGUAUUCAAACAAUCACGGUUUAUGCGGAGAUGGGUUCACGGAUUUGAAUGCUUGCACCGGUUUAAACGGUCCGAACCUAAACCGGCCAGACCCAACAAACCCAACGAAUUUCACAACCGUUGACGUGAAACCAGAAUCAGCAGAUUUACAACGAAGCAAUUGCAGUAACAACAAUGGCGGGUGUUCAUCAAAAACCUCAAAGUCUUCACCUUUAGGAAUCGUCAUGGGUCUUAUGGGUUCAAUCCUCGCAGUUGCAAUCUUUGGUGGUUCAACAUUCACAUGGUACAGACGAAGGAAACAAAAGAUUGGAAGCAGUCUUGAUGCAAUGGACGGUAGGAUUAGCACUGAGUACAACUUCAAAGAAGUUUCUAGAAGAAAAAGCUCUUCUCCAUUGAUCAGCCUAGAGUAUGCAAGUGGUUGGGAUCCGUUAGGACGAGGACAGAGCAGUAACAACAACAGUGCAUUGUCUCAAGAAGUCUUUGAGAGCUUUAUGUUCAAUCUUGAGGAGAUUGAGAGAGCUACUCAGAGCUUCUCUGAGGUUAACUUGUUGGGGAAGAGUAAUGUAUCUUCGGUUUAUAAAGGUAUCCUUAGAGAUGGUUCUGUUGCAGCUGUAAAAUGUAUAGCGAAAUCGAGCUGUAAAUCCGAUGAAUCCGAGUUUCUCAAAGGGUUGAAGACGCUGACAUUGUUGAAGCAUGAGAAUUUAGUGAGGUUGAGAGGAUUCUGCUGCUCAAAAGGACGUGGAGAAUGUUUCCUUAUCUAUGAGUUUGUCCCCAAUGGUAAUCUUUUGCAGUAUCUUGAUGUGAAGGAUGAGACUGGAGAGGUUCUCGAAUGGACAACUCGAGUUUCCAUCAUUAAUGGCAUCGCCAGAGGUUGGAUUCUGCGAUUCCUUCUUUCGCAAACCAAAUUCGGUUUUUGUAUGUAAAAAUCUGAUGUCUGUUUUUUUUUUUCUUUCUUUCAGGGAUUGUUUACCUACAUGGAGAAAAUGGAAACAAGCCUGCAAUAGUUCACCAGAAUCUAUCUGCAGAGAAGAUUCUCAUUGAUCAUUGGUAUAAUCCUUCUCUUGCGGAUUCCGGUCUUCACAAGCUUUUCACGGAUGACAUCGUUUUCUCGAAGCUCAAAGCAAGUGCGGCAAUGGGAUACUUAGCUCCUGAGUACAUAACUACAGGGAGGUUUACUGAUAAGAGCGACGUGUAUGCCUUUGGUAUGAUUCUGUUGCAGAUACUGAGUGGUAAAAGCAAAAUCAGCCAUUUGAUGAUCUUACAAGCUGUAGAGUCAGGAAGACUGAAUGAAGACUUCAUGGAUCCAAAUCUUCGAAAGAACUUCCCGGAAGCAGAAGCAGCUGAGCUCGCUAGACUUGGUCUUCUCUGCACCCAUGAAUCCUCAAACCAGAGACCAUCCAUGGAAGACGUUAUGCAAGAACUGAACAAACUCGCAGCGAAUUAUUAGUUUCCGUUUAACAAGAUUCUUGCUUUUAAUGUCCAAGAAUUGGCAUACCAAGGUUUCAGAAUAUCACCAUUCCCCUGAUGUUAACUCUGUUUUUAGGUUCAGUGUAACAAUCUUAUCUCCUUGUAACUGUAGCUGAUGUACUUAGGCUGUAAAAACAAUCACUUUUCAGAAGUUUUAGGUGAUCUUGUGGGAAGUGUUUUUUUCAGACAUAUCUUAGCUGCAUCCAACCAACAUGUGAAUAUGUUGUGACAUUGUCUUCAUGUAUGGGCAAGGAAUUGCAGAUUAGGUUAAAGCUCUUGAAAAUAUAUCGCUGCACAAUCGUUUUAUCUACAAUGUAUUGGAAACUUCAAUGCUAUCUACAAAGAACUCAUGGACUCUUCCAUCGAGCUCAAUCCAACUACAUCCAGGAAUUUUCUCUAUCUUUCUUUCCUUCAUCAUCGUUCUAACUCUACGAACAUCCUUCCACAUUCCAAAACUAGCAUACAUGUUAGAGAGAAGCACAUAUGAGCUCGGGUUAUAGCCAGCCUGCAAAAUAAGGUGUUUCGCGACAAGCUCUCCCGUUUCAAACUCCUUGUGGUGACUACAAGCGGUGAGAAAUGUUCUCCAUAUGACAUCAUUUGGCUCAAUUGGCAUUUCCUCUAUUAAGUUUUUGGCUAGCUCUAUACUACCGGAUCUCGAUAGUAUGUCGACCAUACACCCAUAGUGUUGCAACCUUGGUUCUAUCUUGUGUUUUCUCCUCAUGAGCUCAAAGCAGAGAAGGCCUUCCUUCACUAAUCCAGAGUGGCUACAAGCAUUUAAAACUCCAACAAAGGUGAUAUCAUCUGGUAUUAUGGAGAGUCUCUCGAUCUGCAAGAGCAUAUUGAAUGCGGAUUCUCCAAGACCAUGAACAGCUAGCCCACCAAUCAUAGCAUUCCAGUGAUCAAUGCUUUUGUUUUCGAUUCCCUCGAAAACCAACAUGGCGUGUUGUAUGCUUCCGCAUUUCGAAUACAUAUCAAUGAGAGCAACGCCGAGUUUUCCACCUAGAUAGAAUUGUUUCUCCACAAUAUACAAAUGCAUAUCGGUGGCUUUCGAUAAUCGGCCAAGCUGAGCAAUUGCAGAAAGAAUGAUUACCAAAGUCGUUUCAUCGGGUGACAAGUGACUCUCCUUUUCCAUGUCGUUAAAUAUUUCAAGAGCUUCCAUGUGACACUUGUUUUGAACAUAACCAGCCAUCAUAGAAUUAUAUGCCACAACAUCUCUAAGAGGCAUUUGGUCAAACAGAGUCUUAGCCUGAUGAACAAAACCUAACUUUGCAUACCCAUCAAUCAUGGUAGCACAAGUAACCACAUCUCUUCUCGGCAUCACAUCAAAUAAACCCUUAGCAUCCUCGAUUCUUCCGUGUUUUACAUAUCCAUCGAUCAUUGAGUUCCAUGAAAUCAAGUCCUUCUCAGGCAUUUCAGCAAACAGUUUUGACGCUAUGCUGCAAUUGCAUCUACACUUAAGAAGCAUGGUGCCACUCUAAGUUUUGUAUCCGGAGAAGUGCAAGUUCUAAACCGUCCGGAUGAUUUCUCAGGAGCAUUAGGAGAACCUGAGGCAGUAGCUUGGCAGUAAAGAAAACACAGCAUAUCAGUUUCUUAAGCCUGCGCUUAUCAGUAAUCACCAAAACCUCAAAGCUAAACUUAUUUUUUUGCAGGUGUUAAACGCUGCGUGGGACAGCGAUACAUCGGUUGCUCGAGAGAACUCGCUUCCUCGCUUCCUCGCCAUGAUAGAGUUGGGUAUAACAAAAUGUUAGAAUUUAGAUAGCGUCAAGUUUCGGAACGAUCCAGAUAAACUCAAAUCGUAUGGGCUUUAUUAUUGGGCUAACAUUAAGAUAAAAAGAUCAGCACCGACAUAGUCCCUCCUCCUAAUGUAGAAAACCAGAAGGUCCCACAUCGAUAGUAGCAGGAAUCAGCUGUUGGCAUAAUAUUCUAUAAAUAAUCAGUACCUCAACUAGCAAUAUUCUCAUAAAGAUUAUUGGGCCUUUGAUUAAUGUCAGGCCCGAGAUCGUUAAUACCGAAACAUUUUUCAGUUAAGUUUAACCUUUUUUUUUGGUUUUUUUUUUUUGUUUCAACUCUUUUUUUUUUUUAUUAAUACUAAAUUAACAUGACGUUGUGAAAUCUAACCGGAUUUUGGAUCCCGUCAUUUAACCGUGAUCGUUAGCGAUUCCACAAAUCCAACAUGUUGUUCACUUCUUAAUGUAAAUUUAGUAUUUUUUUUGGUUUUUUUUCAAAAGUUUUUCAAUUCUUUUAAAAAAAAAACAUUUUGUUUUGAUUUUUUACUUCAUUUUUUUUUGUUUUUAAAAAUAAUAAAUUAACAUGACGUUGUGAAAACUAACCGGAUUUUGGAUCCCGCCAUUUAACCGUGGUCGUUAGCGAUUCCACAAAUCCAACAUGUUUUUCACAUCUUAAUGUAAAUUUAGUAUUUUUUAUAUUUUCUUUUCAAAAGCUUUUCAACUUUUUUUUUUUUUUAAUUUUUUAAAAAGUUUUUCAACUCUUUUUUUUUUUAAAAAAACUUUUUGUUUUGAUUUUUUUCUUCAUUUUUUUAAGUUUUUAAAAAUACUAAACUAACAUUGACGUUGUGAAAACUAACCGGAUUUCGGAUCCCGCCAUUUAACCGUGGUCGUUAGCGAUUCCACAAAUCCAACAUGUUUUUUCACAUCAUAAUGUAAAUUUAGUAUUUUUUAUGUUUUUUUUUCAAAAGUUUUUCAACUCUUUUUUUCAAAAAAAAAUGAUUUUUUUCUUCAUUUUUGAAGUUUUUAAAAAAUACUAAAUUAACAUGACGUAGUAAAAACUAACCGGAUUUUGGAUCCCGUCAUUUAACCGUGGUCGUUAGCUAUUCCACAAAUCCAACAUGUUUUUCACAUUUUAAUGUAAAUUUAGCAUUUAUUUUUUACUUUUUUUUUCUUCAAAAGUUUUCAACUCUUUUAUUUCUUUUUUUUUAUUUUGUUUUAUUUUAUUUAAGUUUUUUAUAAAUACUAAAUUAAUACGUUAACGAGGCUUGAUUUGAGCUUCAACAACCUCUUUGGUCCUGUUCCGGUGAAACUCGCUGGUGCUCCUUUGCUUGAAGUUCUCGACAUUCGUAAUAACCCUUUGCCGGCUUCGUUCCCUCUGGUAAUUAUUUCUUUUUCCUCCAGAUUCAUAAAUUCUUCAAUUUGCUGAAUGAUUAGAGUUGACCAUUCCGGUUAAACCGAACCGAAAACCAAUCCAAAAACCGUAUCAAUUCUUAAUGUUUUGCUUACUUGUUUCUGAUUAUUUUGGAUUUUAUAGCUUUGAAGAGGCUAAACAAUGGAUUCCAGUAUUCAAACAAUCACGGUUUAUGCGGAGAUGGGUUCACGGAUUUGAAUGCUUGCACCGGUUUAAACGGUCCGAACCUAAACCGGCCAGACCCAACAAACCCAACGAAUUUCACAACCGUUGACGUGAAACCAGAAUCAGCAGAUUUACAACGAAGCAAUUGCAGUAACAAUAAUGGCGUGUGUUCAUCAAAAACCUCAAAGUCUUCACCUUUAGGAAUCGUCAUGGGUCUUAUGGGUUCAAUCCUCGCAGUUGCAAUCUUUGGUGGUUCAACAUUCACAUGGUACAGACGAAGGAAACAAAAGAUUG
rnacentral:lncRNA from 1 species